GAUCAUUGGGAGGAUAUAGUGAGAGUGUUGCAAUGAGAAAUUUACAUGACGCAAACUACACACACACACACACAACUGCUGACAAUGGAUCUCUGGGCUCUUGCGUCGAUGAAGAACGCAGCUAAACGCGAAAAGUGUUAUGACGUGCAGUUUUUGAGAAUCAUGAAUGUUUGAACGCACAUUGCGGCAGUGUUCAUUUAUGGAUACGCCAUGACUGUUUGAGCGGGGAACCGGAGUGAACGGGAGUUUAGGUUUGGGACGUAGCACGUGCUUGUCCUUGAAUACAGAGCAAGUGGUUGUUCGGGAAUAAUUCCGCUGGACACCAUACACACACUUACACACCCCCUCAAAUCAGUCAAGACGACCCGCUGAACUUAAGCAUAUCAGUAAGCGGAGGAAAAGAAACUAACGAGGAUUCCUGCAGUAACGGCGAGUGAAGAAGGAACAGCUCACAUUUGGAAGCAACGCGUGAGUGUUGCGUUGUAAAUGGUAGCAUUGUGGAUGGGUAUUGGGAGCUGGAGCAAGACUGCUGGAAAGCAGCGCCACAGAGGAUGAUAGCUCCGUAGCACCAGCGCCCAAGCUCAUUUUCCACUAUGCUUUGAGUCGGACUGUUUGGGAAUGCAGUCCUAAAUGGGUGAUACGCGUCAUCUAAAGCUAAAUAGCGGCAAGAGACCGAUAGCGGACAAGUACCGUGAGGGAAAGAUGAAAAGCACUCUUGGCAGAGAGUGAAAAGUGCGUGAAAUUGUCAGCAGGGAAGCGGGCGUGGUGCCAAGGAAUGGAGAAAGCAGUGGCACGUAGUGCCAGUGCGCAUCGACAUGACGUGGGGGAUGCGGAGGAGUGGAUAAAGCAGGAUAGAGAGCACGUGCUUCGGCAUACCUGUGAUCUUU
rnacentral:rRNA from 1 species